rnacentral:rRNA from 1 species
GAUGAACGCUGGCGGCGUGCCUAAUACAUGCAAGUCGAGCGAACAGAUGAGGAGCUUGCUCCUCUGACGUUAGCGGCGGACGGGUGAGUAACACGUGGAUAACCUACCUAUAAGACUGGGAUAACUUCGGGAAACCGGAGCUAAUACCGGAUAAUAUAUUGAACCGCAUGGUUCAAUAGUUAAAGACGGUUUUGCUGUCACUUAUAGAUGGAUCCGCGCCGCAUUAGCUAGUUGGUAAGGUAACGGCUUACCAAGGCAACGAUGCGUAGCCGACCUGAGAGGGUGAUCCGCCACACUGGAACUGAGACACGGUCCAGACUCCUACGGGAGGCAGCAGUAGGGAAUAUUCCGCAAUGGGCGAAAGCCUGACGGAGCAACGCCGCGUGAGUGAUGAAGGUCUUCGGAUCGUAAAACUCUGUUAUUAGGGAAGAACAAAUGUGUAAGUAAAUAUGCACGUCUUGACGGUACCUAAUCAGAAAGCCACGGCUAACUACGUG